AAAACAUCGCCUCUUGUUUAUCAUAAGAGGUCCAGCCUGCCCAGUGACAAAAUUUAACGGCCGCGGUAACCUAACCGUGCGAAGGUAGCAUAAUCACUUGUCCUUUAAAUAGGGGCUCGUAUCAACGGCACCACGAGGGUUAUACUGUCUCCUUUCUCUAAUCAGUGAAACUGAUCCCCCCGUGAAGAAGCGGGGAUAAAACUAUAAGACGAGAAGACCCCAUGGAGCUUUAAAUUAGCAGCAACUCUACCAUCCACCCCCCCCAUAAAAUAGACGUAUGCAUGCGACUUUUAGGUUGGGGCGACCGCGGAGUAUAAAAUAACCCCCACGACGAAAAGAGCUAAAUCUUUAUCCCAGAGUUCCCCCUCAAAGAAUUAGUACACUAACGAACAAUGACCCGAUCAUCGAUCAACGAACCAAGUUACCCUGGGGAUAACAGCGCAAUCUACUUCAAGAGCCCCUAUCGACGAGUAGGCUUACGACCUCGAUGUUGGAUCAGGGUAACCUAAUGGUGCAGCCGCUAUUAACGGUUCGU
rnacentral:rRNA from 1 species